rnacentral:siRNA from 1 species
AUCCCACUUUUGGUCAAGAACAAG